rnacentral:rRNA from 1 species
GACGAACGCUGGCGGCGUGCUUAACACAUGCAAGUCGAACGGUGACGAGGAGCUUGCUCCUCUGAUCAGUGGCGAACGGGUGAGUAACACGUGAGUAACCUGCCCCAGACUCUGGAAUAACAGUUGGAAACAGCUGCUAAUACCGGAUACGAGACGGAGAGGCAUCUCUACCGUCUGGAAAGUUUUUCGGUCUGGGAUGGACUCGCGGCCUAUCAGCUUGUUGGUGAGGUAAUGGCUCACCAAGGCGACGACGGGUAGCCGGCCUGAGAGGGCGACCGGCCACACUGGGACUGAGACACGGCCCAGACUCCUACGGGAGGCAGCAGUGGGGAAUAUUGCACAAUGGGCGAAAGCCUGAUGCAGCAACGCCGCGUGAGGGAUGACGGCCU